UGAAUUGAAUCCUCACAAGCUAACAAGCAGCCAUGCCUCCACUUGCCAAUCAAGAGCUGAGACAUCGAUCUUACCACUAUUUCCAAUUAAGAGUCGAUUCCCAUAUCCUCUAAUGUCGGCCGUUGGAUAGACAUUCAUAGCUAUGCUCGCAUGCCAAUCAUCUCUUGCACAAAUAGUCAAUCAAUAUCAAUCUCUCUUCAAUUUGGUCAAGUCUAACUCUGUUGUCCACCUCUCCAAGAUGUGGUUUUUCCUCCUUUUCUUUCUCUACCAUAAUCAGUGUAUUUCAAGCCCGGAUUCUGUCUGUAAAUUCCACUAAUCUAUCCAUUUUCAUAGAAAGUGAAAGUUUACACAACAUAAGGUAAUUUGAACAAAAUAUUACAUGGAUUUUUUUAAAGUGUUUUAUUUUUUAAAAUUUGUUUGUUCAUGGAAUGACUGCUGUUAAUGUGUUGUUGUUGAUAUUAUUGAUUAUGCCAUUAAAGUUUACCCAAUUCAAGUUAUUGUUUGAUUGUGUUUGACUAAACUUUUUCUUUGCAGUGUUGCUGUUAUUGAUUGAGAUUGGAUAGACUUCAACCACUCAAUUUUCAAAAUUUUUUAAAACCCAUCCUAUCUAAUUGGAUUAGAUUGCGACAAAAGUUUUUUUUUUUUGCUUUUUUCAUUAUCUUCAUCGCUGCAACUUUGUUACCAUCUGCAAGUAUGCAACUUUUGUUUCAAUAAUUAUUCUUUUCCAAUGAAGGCUAAACCGAUGAAUUCAGUUAUUUAAUUUAAUUCAGUUCAGUUUCUGUUCUCAAAAAAUUCAGUUAUUUCAGUUUUGGUCAAUUUUCAGACCUGACUGACUGAUGCACACCCCUAAGAAUGAGAAAGAGGUCAACUGAUUUUAAGGCUUUUGAUGCAUCUUUUUUACAGAUAUUUUACUUUUGAGUUGGAAUUCAUAGAGAAACAAAAUCCUGUCCUGAGUAACAAUUGCAGCAGACAUAUUACAAUAUACAUCACAAAAGUGUAUGUAAUCACCAUAAAAGCCUGGACUGACUAGGAAAA
rnacentral:misc_RNA from 1 species